CCUGUUUAACAAAAACAUGUCUUUUUGAGUUAUUUUUAAAGUCUGACCUGCCCACUGAAUUUAUUUAAAUGGCCGCAGUAUUUUGACUGUGCAAAGGUAGCAUAAUCAUUAGUCUUUUAAUUGAAGGCUGGUAUGAACGGUUGGACGAGGUAUAAGCUGUUUCAUUUAAAUUUAAAUUAGAAUUUUAUAUUUUAGUCAAAAAGCUAAAAUUUAAUUAAAAGACGAGAAGACCCUAUAAAUCUUUAUAUUUUAUUUUAUUUAAAUUUUUUAGAUUUAUUUUAUUUUUAUAAAAUAAAAUAUUUUAUUGGGGUGAUGUUAAAAUUUAAUGAACUUUUAAUUAUUUAAAAUCAUUAAUUUAUGAUUUGUUGAUCCAUUAAUAGUGAUUAUAAGAUUAAGUUACUUUAGGGAUAACAGCGUAAUUUUUUUGGAGAGUUCAUAUCGAUAAAAAAGUUUGCGACCUCGAUGUUGGAUUAAGAUAUAAUUUUAGGUGUAGCCGCUUAAAU
rnacentral:rRNA from 1 species